CGUAGGCGGAUAGAUCAAAAUAUAGUAAAAGACUGAGGUAGGCCCUCUUUAAUCUAUAUUUACUGAUCAUCUGAGUUCCAAAGGCGAUAUAUUGAAUUCCUUAGGUAAGGGUUAAAUUGUUGAUAUUGGAAGACAUUCGAAAGCGGAAGCAUUUAUCGAUUUGGAUCUGACGCUAGGUACUAAAGUAUGGGUAUGAAGAGGAUUAGAGACCUUGUAGUCCAUACCUUAAACUAUGAGUGUUCAACGUCCUUUUUGCAUUGGAAAAGUUAGUCAUUUUGAUUUGAGCUUUUUACAAGGAGCAUAAGGGGGUUUAAAGCUAACGCGUGAAACACCGCCUGGGGAAUGUGGCCGCAAGGUUAAACUCAAAGGAAUUGAGGAGGCUUGUACAAGG
rnacentral:rRNA from 1 species